ensembl:lncRNA
UUUACAAGUUAUUUCCUAUUUUCUUACCUAUGUUGGCAUCUUUAAGCAUGAGGGUGAUGACUGUUGCCUUUAGCAGCUGUAUGUUGGUUAUUAUUGUUGUUACUCAUCACUGGGAGAGAUGCAUCUUGGAUUAUAACCUUGCUCCACUCCCAUUUACUGCACAUAACUGCCCUCGGUGAUGUAAGAGCGGCUGGACUAUCAUCUUUUUUAUGGCAUGUGUUGUGCCAUAUAGUGGAAAAGCCACAUAUGGAACUAAUAAUAUAAAUGAGCCCACAUGCCCAAAACGUAAAUAGAAUGCAGACUUUAUUCAUGCUAGUUACACGUGUGACUUCCCAGCUAUGAGGUCAAGAAGACAUUAUACAAAUGACAACAAACAGACAUAUCUACUAGUCUAACUCCAUUAAAUAAAAGAACACCUUUUAUAUACUUGUAGCCGCUAAACUGGUGGACCUAAAUCUUCACCACCACGUCUGUAUACAUACAAGCAGAAAGGGGAGUGAGUGGGUCAGCGCUCAGAGCACAGAAACUUAGCUGGCGUCAAACACAUAAUUUAUUUUCCAUAAUAAAAAAAAAAAAAAAAAAAACCACAGCCAGAGUCACAAAUACAAGCUAAAAUCCCCGUAUACAAUAAAAAUAGUGUUUGCAACCCGCUAAAAACCCGGCCGGCCGGAAUGAUUUAAACACUAAAAACACAAAGCUGAAUGAAUGUUUUUCCCUAUGCUAAAAACUCCCCCCAGGGUCCUAAUUCUCACAGUCCAGCAACACGCGGGCAAAUUCUCCUGAGCUGAAAGAGACAGGAGAGGAACUCCUCUUCCGGGAUGGGGAAUCUCGCCAGCAGAAGACCAGGGAGGAGGCUCCUAUCUCCACCUGACGGUGCGCGAUCGUGCAGUCCAGCCACUCUCCACACCCGCGCACGGCCUCCCUCGUAGCUCCGCCCUGAAACAACAGACACGGGCCAGCAACGUUGUCGGCGCAGCCGCUGUCACCCUUCCCCGGCAAAGCUACUCCUAGCGCCCAACAGUGGGAAAGCGAUACUCACAGAUGCAGGCAGAGGCGUACCCCUGCCCUACUGUGGAUUUCACGCGUCGCCUCCCACGGUCGCUAUUCUGCCCUACUGUGGAUCGCCGGGUUAUGCUGGCCGAUCGCUGAAUGUCUCGUGGCGCCCCACAGUCAGGCCGGAGGUCCUUCUGUUCAUAUGCUGGCUUGCACGCGUUUUGUUUCCAGCUCUUCACUUUUCGUGUGUCUCUCUUUCAGUCUUUGCGCUCACCAUCUCCCUUAAGUCAGUUUGGCGGCUGAUAGGCCACCUCGGGGAACGCCCCCACCUCACAGGUGCCUACAAUUGUCCGCUUAAUCCACAGUGGAAUAAAAAAAACAUAUUGUUCAAUCAACACUAAACACACACUAUAAAUAUGGGGAUAAAAUCAUGCAAUAGGAAUAUCAAUAAACAAACAUGCAAUAUCACUAUUACAAUAAAAUCAUGCAAAUAAAAUCGACACUAUGUACCAACACAGUCCAAUCCAAAACAAAAUAUAAAAACACAAUUUUCC